AUGGCCAUCUUCGACGAGUUCUAUGUUGGGUCCAUUGAUCUCGGGCGCCUUAACUACGGGGCGAUCUCGCUUAUCCCCAAGGUCCCUGGGGCAUCUGACAUCCGUCAGUUUCGCCCGAUCACGGUGAUAAACGUGAUGUUUCGUAUUCUGGCGAAAGGGUACGCCAAUAGGGUGACCCUGCUCGCGGACCACAUUACCCACCCCAACCAAUCGGCCUUCAUCCAAGGACGAUAUAUUCUGGAUGGGGCGCUAGUCCUCCACGAGGUCCGCUCCAAACACCUAAAGGCGGUCUUCCUGAAGAUCGAUUUCCAUAAGGCCUAUGACACCGUUAGCUGGCCCUUCCUUCGGGAAGUUCUUCUACGGAAAGGCUUCGAUGACCGCUGGAUCUCCAGGGUGAUGCAGAUGGUCUCCUGUGGUCGCACUGCCGUGAACAUAAAUGGGGAGAUUGGCCCCUACUUCCCCACUCUUUGUGGGGUGAGGCAAGGCGAUCCCUUUUUCCCGUUCCUGCUCAACAUGGUGGUGGAUGCACUGGCGGCCAUCUUGGACAAGGCUAAGGCGGCAGGCCAUAUCCGUGGGCUCGCUCCCCACUUGGCCGGCGGCACCGGCAUCUCCCUGCUCCAGUACGCUGACGACACCAUCAUCAUGGUCGAAGGCUCGGACGCGGACAUCGCCAACCUUAAGUUCCUCCUCCUCUGCUUCCAACAAAUGUCUGGCCUCAAGAUCAACUUCGAUAAGAGUGAUGUGAUGGUGAUGGGCUACUCUCCGGCCGAGGCCCGCGAAAUCGCCAACCGCCUGAAUUGCCGCCUGGGCACCUUCCCCACCACCUACCUGGGGACGCCCAUUAGUGACUCUCGGCUUACAGUGGCUGAUCUGCGACCGACGGUGUCCAAGUUGCAGACGCAUAUUGAUCCAUGGCAGGGCCGGUGGCUGUCAAAGGCGGCCCGGAUGAUCCUCAUCAACUCCUCGCUCUCCAGCCUCCUCUUGUUCCUCAUGAGCUUCUACAACCCCCACGAGACGCUCCACCAUGAGAUUGCGAAGGUCCAAUCCCGCUUUUAUUGGGCCGGGGACAAUAGCAAACAGAAAUACCAUAUGGUUAGUUGGCCCGAUAUCUGCAAGCCUCGGGAGCAGGGCGGCUUCGGUAUCAUGUGUUCGAAACGCAUGAAUAUUGCUCUCCUCUCCCGAUGGCUUUGGCGCAUCUCGCAAGGGCAUGGUGGGUUGUGGCUGGACAUCAUCCGGAACAAGUACUUGCACGGCCAACCUUUGGCCUUCUGCUAA
rnacentral:rRNA from 1 species